rnacentral:tRNA from 1 species
GGGAGCAUAGCUCAGUUGGGAGAGCACCUGCCUUACAAGCAGGGGGUCACAGGUUCGAGCCCUGUUGCUCCCACCA